UCGUCUGGUUGUGGAAAGAUUUUUUGGUUGGGGAUGGACUCGCGGCCUAUCAGGUUGUUGGUGAGGUAAUGGCUCACCAAGCCUACGACGGGUAGCCGGCCUGAGAGGGUGACCGGCCACACUGGGACUGAGACACGGCCCAGACUCCUACGGGAGGCAGCAGUGGGGAAUAUUGCACAAUGGGCGAAAGCCUGAUGCAGCAACGCCGCGUGAGGGAUGACGGCCUUCGGGUUGUAAACCUCUUUUAGUAGGGAAGAAGCGAAAGUGACGGUACCUGCAGAAAAAGCACCGGCUAACUACGUGCCAGCAGCCGCGGUAAUACGUAGGGUGCAAGCGUUGUCCGGAAUUAUUGGGCGUAAAGAGCUCGUAGGCGGUUUGUCGCGUCUGCUGUGAAAACCGGAGGCUCAACCUCCGGCCUGCAGUGGGUACGGGCAGACUAGAGUGCGGUAGGGGAGAUUGGAAUUCCUGGUGUAGCGGUGGAAUGCGCAGAUAUCAGGAGGAACACCGAUGGCGAAGGCAGAUCUCUGGGCCGUAACUGACGCUGAGGAGCGAAAGCAUGGGGAGCGAACAGGAUUAGAUACCCUGGUAGUCCAUGCCGUAAACGUUGGGCGCUAGAUGUAGGGGCCAUUCCACGGUUUCUGUGUCGCAGCUAACGCAUUAAGCGCCCCGCCUGGGGAGUACGGCCGCAAGGCUAAAACUCAAAGGAAUUGACGGGGGCCCGCACAAGCGGCGGAGCAUGCGGAUUAAUUCGAUGCAACGCGAAGAACCUUACCAAGGCUUGACAUAUACCGGUAACGGCCAGAGAUGGUCGCCCCGCUUGUGGUCGGUGUACAGGUGGUGCAUGGUUGUCGUCAGCUCGUGUCGUGAGAUGUUGGGUUAAGUCCCGCAACGAGCGCAACCCUCGUUCUAUGUUGCCAGCGGGUUAUGCCGUGGGAACUCAUAGGAGACUGCCGGGGUCAACUCGGAGGAAGGUGGGGAUGACGUCAAAUCAUCAUGCCCCUUAUGUCUUGGGCUUCACGCAUGCUACAAUGGCCGGUACAAAGGGCUGCGAUACCGUAAGGUGGAGCGAAUCCCCAAAAAGCCGGUCUCAGUUCGGAUUGAGGUCUGCAACUCGACCUCAUGAAGUCGGAGUCGCUAGUAA
rnacentral:rRNA from 1 species